rnacentral:rRNA from 1 species
UAGCCGUAAACGGUACUCGCUAGGUGUCGGCCACGGUGCGACCGUUGUCGGUGCCGUAGGGAAGCCGUGAAGCGAGCCACCUGGGAAGUACGGCCGCAAGGCUGAAACUUAAAGGAAUUGGCCGGGGGGAGCACCACAACGGGUGGAGCCUGCGGUUUAAUUGGACUCAACGCCGGGAAGCUCACCGGAUAAGACAGCGGAAUGAUUGCCGGGCUGAAGACCCUGCAUGACCAGCUGAGAGGUGGUGCAUGGCGUAGUCGUGU